AUUGAACGCUGGCGGCAUGCCUUACACAUGCAAGUCGAACGGCAGCACGGGAGCUUGCUCCUGGUGGCGAGUGGCGAACGGGUGAGUAAUACAUCGGAACGUACCCUGAAGUGGGGGAUAACGUAGCGAAAGUUACGCUAAUACCGCAUAUUCUGUGAGCAGGAAAGAGGGGGAUCGCAAGACCUCUUGCUUUAGGAGCGGCCGAUGUCGGAUUAGCUAGUUGGUGAGGUAAAGGCUCACCAAGGCGACGAUCCGUAGCGGGUCUGAGAGGAUGAUCCGCCACACUGGGACUGAGACACGGCCCAGACUCCUACGGGAGGCAGCAGUGGGGAAUUUUGGACAAUGGGCGCAAGCCUGAUCCAGCCAUGCCGCGUGAGUGAAGAAGGCCUUCGGGUUGUUAAAGGACUCUUU
rnacentral:rRNA from 1 species